GUGUCAGCAGCCGCGGUAAUACCGGCAGCACGAGUGAUGACCGCUAUUAUUGGGCCUAAAGCGUCCGUAGCUGGCCACGCAAGUUCGUCGGGAAAUCUGCGCGCUUAACGCGCAGGCGUCCGGUGAAAACUGCGUGGCUUGGGACCGGAAGAUCCAGAGGGUACGUCCGGGGUAGGAGUGAAAUCCUGUAAUCCUGGACGGACCACCGGUGGCGAAAGCGCUCUGGAAAGACGGAUCCGACGGUGAGGGACGAAAGCUCGGGUCACGAACCGGAUUAGAUACCCUCGUAGUCC
rnacentral:rRNA from 1 species